rnacentral:rRNA from 1 species
UACGGAGGGCGCAAGCGUUAUCCGGAUUCACUGGGCUUAAAGGGUGCGUAGGCGGUCAGGUAAGUCAGUGGUGAAAUCUCCGGGCUUAACCCGGAAACUGCCGUUGAUACUAUUUGUCUUGAAUAUUGUGGAGGUAAGCGGAAUAUGUCAUGUAGCGGUGAAAUGCUUAGAUAUGACAUAGAACACCAAUUGCGAAGGCAGCUUACUACACAACGAUUGACGCUGAGGCACGAAAGCGUGGGGAUCAAACAGG